GACGAACGCUGGCGGCGUGCCUAAUACAUGCAAGUCGAGCGAAUGGAAGGGAGCUUGCUCCCUGAAGUUAGCGGCGGACGGGUGAGUAACACGUGGGCAACCUGCCUGUAAGACUGGGAUAACUUCGGGAAACCGGAGCUAAUACCGGAUACGUUCUUUCCUCGCAUGAGGAAAGAUGAAAAGAUGGUUUCGGCUAUCACUUACAGAUGGGCCCGCGGCGCAUUAGCGAGUUGGUGGGGUAACGGCCCACCAAGGCGACGAUGCGUAGCCGACCUGAGAGGGUGAUCGGCCACACUGGGACUGAGACACGGCCCAGACUCCUACGGGAGGCAGCAGUAGGGAAUCUUCCGCAAUGGACGAAAGUCUGACGGAGCAACGCCGCGUGAGCGAAGAAGGCCUUCGGGUCGUAAAGCUCUGUUGUCAGGGAAGAACAAGUGCCAGAGUAACUGCUGGCACCUUGACGGUACCUGACCAGAAAGCCACGGCUAACUACGUGCCAGCAGCCGCCGUAA
rnacentral:rRNA from 1 species